rnacentral:rRNA from 1 species
AGAGUUCGAUUCUGGCUCAGGAUGAACGCUGGCGGCGUGCCUAAUACAUGCAAGUAGAACGCUGAAAGAAGAGCUUGCUCUUCUGGAAGAGUUGCGAACGGGUGAGUAACGCGUAGGUAACCUGCCUGAUAGCGGGGGAUAACUAUUGGAAACGAUAGCUAAUACCGCAUAACAGUGCUUGUUGCAUGACAAGGAUUUGAAAGGGGCAAUUGCCUCACUAUCAGAUGGACCUGCGUUGUAUUAGCUAGUUGGUGGGGUAACGGCUCACCAAGGCGACGAUACAUAGCCGACCUGAGAGGGUGAUCGGCCACACUGGGACUGAGACACGGCCCAG